rnacentral:tRNA from 1 species
CGGGGAUUGGCGCAGGGGUAGCGCGCUUGUUUUGGGAGCAAGAGGCCGUGAGUUCAAAUCCCACAUCCCCGACCA